UUGAGAAAAUUUUAUGUCAGUCCUAUGAAGAAAAUCUUGAAGGCAGUUUGGUUUUGCGUUUCGGCCGACUUGAAGUUUGGAUUGGUUCAUCAAGGGUAUCCUCAAGGUCCAUUGCGUCCGAGUGAAGACCAGGUUGGCGAUACUGACCGAUACUUGUUCCGAAAUUGUUUCCUGGUCUGAUUGAGAAGGCCACUUCCGCAAAUGAGAAACUGGUCGAUGUAUGAGUUCAAAUGCUCUGUGCCACUCUUCCCACUCUCGACGGAGGUCUGAGGCAUCCACGGCACCGUUGAAUGGUUCUAGUGGCCACUGAUCCAUCUGCAACAAUGGACAUGAUUAAUGAUAGAAUGAUCACGUGAUAAAAUCACUAUUAUGAAUGGAAAUAAACCCUCCAGGUGAAACGAAGAUGAAGGAAAAUUUAAUGACAAGCCAGUUUCCAUUUUUAAA